UGUGGGAGCGAGCCUGCUCGCGAUAGCAAUGGCACAUCCAGCAUCAAUGUGACAGAUGGAUCGCUAUCGCGAGCAGGCUCGCUCCCACA
rnacentral:misc_RNA from 2 species